GCGCCUGUAGCCGUCGAGUUUCUGCGCAGACGAGAACACGCUGCGACACUUUGAGCUCUGAGAGAGAGAGAGAGAGAGAGAGAGAGAGAGAGAGAGAGAGAGAGAGAGAGAGAGAGAGAGAGAGAGAGAGAGAGAGAGAGAGAGAGAGAGAGAGAGAGAGAGAGAGAGAGAGCGAGCAGCAGCAAUGUUUUUUGCUCCGAACCUUCUUGACUGAUUUCUUUCCCUCAUUUAUUAUUAAACCUCUUAAUUAUUUAA